UACGAAGGGGGCUAGCGUUGUUCGGAAUUACUGGGCGUAAAGCGCACGUAGGCGGACUGACAAGUCAGGGGUGAAAUCCCGGGGCUCAACCUCGGAACUGCCUCUGAUACUGUCAGUCUAGAGUCCGGAAGAGGUGGGUGGGAUUCCUAGUGUAGAGGUGAAAUUCGCAGAUAUUAGGAAGAACACCGGCGGCGAAGGCGGCCCACUGGUCCGGAACUGACGCUGAGGUGCGAAAGCGUGGGGAGCAAACAGG
rnacentral:rRNA from 1 species